GAAGGUACUGGAAUAGCAGAUUUUCAUCCAAGCAUCAGGUUUCUAAGGAGGCUUAAGCUUUUGAAUUUAAGAAACUGCAAAAGCCUUAGGAGUUUCCCAUCCGAAAUUGGAAAGCAAUCUCUUGAAACAUUAAUUCUUUCAGGUUGUUCAAAUAUAAAAUGGAUUCCAGAGGUUGUGGGAGAAAUGGAGUGUUUGAAAAAGCUUCAUUUAGAUGGGACUGGUAUUAACGAACUUCCCUCUUCAAUUGGACAUCUCAGGAGUCUUGUGUUGUUAAAUCUGAAAGAUUGUUGAAAGCUUGAGAAUCUCCCAAGCAGCAUAGGUGGUUGUGAAUUCCUCACAACUCUUGUUCUCUCUGGUUGCUCUAAGCUUGAAAAUUUGCCAGAGAAUUUGCAGCAAAUAAAAUCUUUGGAGAAACUUGACUUGAGUGGAAUUGCCAUAACAACACCGCCGUCCUUCAUUUUUCAUAUGAAAAAUCUGAAGUUUUUAUCUUUUCGAGGAUGCAAGGGACCACCAUCUACGGUACGAGCAUAUUGGCCUUUUAUUUCGAGCGCAACAAAAGGUCCUAGUUGGGACUGUAAGAGUUUGAGGCUACCUGCAAUUUUGUCAGGUUUGAGUACUUUAAGAGAGUUGGAUUUAAUUGAUUGCAACCUUGAUGAGGGGGUUAUUCCUAAUGAUAUUUGCAGCUUGUCCUCGUUGGAAAUUCUACAGCUUAGUGAUAACAAUUUCAUCACCCUACCUGCAACCCUUGGUGGACUUUCCAAGCUUACUUCUCUAGUACUGACUUGACUGCAAAAGGCUUAAAUCAUUGCCCGAGCUUUCAGCUGGCUUAGAAUUAUGGAUAGAUGGUUGUGCUUCAUUGGAAGUAGUUGCACCUUCAACAACAGCUUUCCCUUCAGGGGUUAAUGGGUACAUUUGUGCUGUUAACUGCUUCAAAUUGCCAGAGGAUAACAAUGCAGUAGCAAUGCUGAAGACACGUCUUAAGCUAGUAGCAAAUGCAAGAACAGAACGUUAUAACAUUGUCAUACCGGGAAGUGAAAUCCCAAAAUGGUUUAGCAGUCAAACGGAUGACUCUUCAAAAUCUAUAAUAAAGAUGCAAUUGCCUCCCAAUUUUCUGAAUGAUACACAGUUCUUAGUGUACAAGCCCAAUUUUAACCCUUCCCAAACCCAUUACAAAACAACCCACCAGCCCAAUCCCACUACCCAAAAUUUCAGACCCAAAUUGCCCAAUACCCAAACCCAACUAAAUUAACCUAAACCCUAGCCCAUUUUCAGAAAAGAAAAAAACAGCAGCCCCCUAACCCUAGGUGCGCCGCACCUAGGGUCAUCCACUUGCCCUGGUCACCGGCGCCGCACGUCACGUCUCUGCCAUCACCGACUCCACCCACUUGCCUGCAAAAUCAGAGAAAGAAAUGACAAGUAAAAAAAUAAUAGAUCAAAAUAUUGUAAACAUGGCUAUAAAGCCAUAACAACCAAUGUAAAAAGGGGAUCUUUUUUUUUUCCUACGAGAUUUUGAAUGAAGAGAAAUAGAAACAGAAAAAAGGUGGUUACCGAUUUCGAUCUAAA